AAAGCUUUGGGCAGCAACCGCCUAAUAACAUUAAAUUUUUACCUAAUUAAUAUGUACCUAACUUAUAUAAUAUUAAUAAUCUGCUCACUGUCUUAAAGGGUGCAAUUAUUAAUUUAAAUGUUGUAAAAAAAGAGAAAAUACCUAUUAUUUUUAACUUUUCAGUACACGCCAAAUAAAAGUUUUUUUUUAAAUAUUUUUUUAUUUCUUUUAAAGUUAUCAAGAAUUGAACAUAUAAAGCUGUUCGGAUGCUAACAACAGCAAUAUUAGCGAUGCGUAAGUACCUACGAGUAUAUACAAAAUAUUUAUAUUUUUGAUUCGACAGACAAAUCAUUUUAGCUCUAAAGCAAGUGAAAAAUGCUCAACUCGAAAAAAUUUGAUGUUUUGGACACAAACAAGAGAAAUGAUCCAGGUUUAUAUGAAGAUAGUUUUACAUAUUCUGUUGAAAAUUAUUUUGAAGAUAAUCAAUCCACAGUCAAUGGUAACGACUUCAACUCAAUUUUGGAAACAGAAAGUUCUCAUAAUAAUGCAUCAGUAUCAGAGCCUAAUAACCUGGAUGGAUGUUCAGCGAGAGAUAAACAUCCAUGUGAACCUACCAAUGUUUUCCAAAAUCAAGAUGAUUCGAAGAUUUAUACCGAACUGCAACCAGUCUGUUACGGUAAAAAUGAAGGCGAUGAGGUAAUGACCAAUGUCGAGACCAAUGUAGAAAAUACAAUACUAACAUCAGACGACCAUAACAUAUCAGCGCAAGAAAGUGAUCCCAAAAAACUGCAGUCAGUGGAUUAUGAUGAUGAAAGUAAAUUUACAUUAGAAUUUCUUAACCUACUAUUUUAUUAAAUAGUAAAAUAUUUUUCAGGUUCUUUAGUUGAAAGUCCUGCUGAUGAUUCGGAUCUAGAUCUGAACUAUACGCCUGAUGAUGAAACUUUACGAAUAAAAAGAAAGACAAAAUUCCAUGAUUGUAUACCUUCCCAUUUUGGUGCGUUAUUAGUAUUUUUUUUAUAGAAUGUUUUGUAAAACUUAACUUCAUUGCAGAUUCAGACAUUGGUACGGAA